rnacentral:tRNA from 1 species
GUUUUUAUAGUUUAAUAAAAAACAUUGGUCUUGUAAACCAAAAAUAAGAAUUUUUUUUAAAAACU